CAGGACCUGCAGAAAAAUUUCGUCAGAAAGAAAUAAACUUCUAUGAUGAAUCCACCAAGAUUUCGGCUGUGCCUGCAGCACAACCUCUCCUACUGACUCUAACAGCUCCUGCACAUUCACAGCUCUGCUAUCAAUGUCUUCAGAUGUGGGGGACGUACCUCUAUGCGACAGCUAGACUUCCAAAAGUUGCAAACUAAGUCUGAGAGAUCUGAAGAGC